UACGUAGGGGGCAAGCGUUGUCCGGAAUUAUUGGGCGUAAAGAGCGUGUAGGCGGUCCGGUAAGUCAGCUGUGAAAGUCAAGGGCUCAACCCUUGAAUGCCGGUUGAUACUGUCGGGCUAGAGUCCGGAAGAGGCGAGUGGAAUUCCCGGUGUAGCGGUGAAAUGCGCAGAUAUCAGGAGGAACACCGGUGGCGAAGGCGGUUCUCUGGGCAUUACCUGACGCUGAGGAGCGAAAGUGUGGGGAGCGAACAGG
rnacentral:rRNA from 1 species